rnacentral:tRNA from 1 species
GGCAGGGUAGCUCAGUCGGUUCAGAGCGCACGACUCAUAAUCGUGAGGUCGAGAGUUCGAGUCUCUCCCCUGCUACCA